rnacentral:rRNA from 1 species
UACGGAGGAUCCAAGCGUUAUCCGGAUUUAUUGGGUUUAAAGGGUGCGUAGGCGGAGAAGUAAGUCAGUGGUGAAAUCUUGCAGCUUAACUGUAAAAUUGCCGUUGAUACUGCUUUUCUUGAGUACAGUUGAGGUAGGCGGAAUGUGUAAUGUAGCGGUGAAAUGCUUAGAUAUUACACAGAACACCGAUUGCGUAGGCAGCUUACUAAGCUGUAACUGACGCUGAGGCACGAAAGCGUGGGGAU